CUGGUGACUAGUUUUUAUAAAAUUUAGUAUGGGGGAAGAUGUCAGACCCUUGGCAUAUGGUUUUGUAUUAUUGUAAUUGUUGUCGCAAUAAUGCACGAGUGGGAAGCACUUGGCGGUCUUCCCUCGGCGGCGACUCCCAUUGCCCUGAGCCUGGCGCCCCUCCGUCGUCACCACAUGGUCCACAUCCACCCCCCAUGGAAAACCGUCUCUGCUUUCAACAGAUUUCUCUUUUCUGAGACUGCUUCGUUUUCUCCGCUCCCUUCCCCCUCUGCAAUUCUCCAAUCUCAAAUGCUCCGUUGCUCUCCCUCCCCACUCUUCAAUGCUGGCGUCUUCCUCUUCCUAGAUUGACGAAACCCGCGCGCCACAGCACCAGCAUUCACUCACUCGCAUGGCGACGUCUUCUUCUGUUGCUGCUUCUCCCUUCUGCUCGUGCCACAACGACCGGCCGAUCAGGCCCUCGUCUCCCAAGAUAUUAGGCAGGCGGAAGGGCUCUUCAUCGUAUCACCAAUACAGCAAACAGUUCCGAUUCCUAAGGGAGGGUUUGAUUUCUUUUUCUUCCUCGUCAUUGGGUGGAUCCGACUCUGCUCCAAUGGCUUGCAGACAGAGACGCCCCAUUCGAGCUGUACUGUCGGGGGAAGCCAUGGCUAUAGCUGUCCAACCUGGAAAUGAUGUCACAACUAAGAAGAAACCUACAAACCAGAGACGGGUAGUUGUGACUGGGAUGGGUGUGGUGACACCAAUUGGUGAUGAUCCGAACAUUUUCUACAACAAUCUACUUGAGGGUGUUAGUGGCAUAAGUGAGAUUGAGGCUUUUGACUGUUCUCACUUCCCAACGAGAAUUGCUGGAGAGAUCAAGUCUUUCUCAACUGAUGGAUUGGUUGCACCAAAACUUUCUAGAAGAAUGGAUAAAUUUAUGCUUUAUAUGCUCAUUGCUGGCAAAAAAGCUUUGACAGAUGGUGGCCUCCAAGAAAACAUGAUGGAUGAGUUCGAUAAAACUAAAUGCGGUGUUUUGAUUGGCUCUGCAAUGGGUGGCAUGAAGGUUUUCAAUGAUGCAUUAGAAGCUUUAAGGGUCUCCUAUAGGAAGAUGAACCCUUUCUGUGUGCCUUUUGCUACUACCAAUAUGGGCUCUGCGGUGCUUGCAAUGGAUCUGGGAUGGAUGGGUCCUAACUAUUCAAUCUCUACUGCCUGUGCUACAAGUAAUUUCUGCAUAUUGAAUGCAGCAAAUCAUAUCAUUAGAGGUGAAGCUGACGUGAUGCUUUCUGGUGGUUCGGAUGCAGCAAUCAUACCCAUCGGCUUGGGUGGUUUUGUAGCAUGCCGAGCAUUGUCACAGAGAAAUAGUGAUCCCACCAAAGCCUCCCGCCCCUGGGAUAUUAAUCGUGAUGGAUUUGUUAUGGGAGAAGGGGCUGGUGUUCUACUUUUAGAAGAAUUAGAGCAUGCGAAGAAAAGAGGUGCAACUAUCUAUGCAGAAUUUCUGGGUGGAAGUUUCACAAGCGAUGCUUAUCACAUGACUGAACCUCAUCCCAAAGGGGCUGGUGUCAGUCUUUGCAUAGAGAAGGCCUUGGCUCAAUCUGGGGUAUGCAGGGAAGAUGUAAAUUACAUAAAUGCACAUGCUACAUCCACACCAGCUGGAGAUAUUAAAGAGUAUGAGGCUCUCGUUCGUUGUUUUGGCCAGAAUUCUGAGUUAAAAGUGAACUCCACGAAAUCAAUGAUUGGUCACCUACUUGGGGCAGCUGGAGCCGUGGAAGCUGUUGCUACAGUACAGGCUAUACGGACAGGAUGGGUUCACCCAAACAUCAAUCUUGAGAACCCACAUGAGGGCGUAGACACAAACGUACUGGUGGGCCCAAAGAAAGAGAAACUGGACAUUAAGGUGGCAUUAUCGAAUUCAUUUGGGUUUGGUGGCCACAACUCUUCAAUUUUGUUUGCUCCUUACAAGUAGAUGCAGUCCGCUACCUGAGCUCCUUAAUUGAUGCUGCAAGUAUGUGGGGCCUCCUGGGUCUCUGGCAUGGCCUCCGGUCGGUUUUCUCUCCUUCUUCUUGUGACUUGCCGGUUGUCUUUCUCCGCGGCAAGGUCCAGUGAAGCUAGGGUUUUGGUUCUUCAAAGUUGCAGGCACCUUUUCAGGAAAGUGAUAGGCAGAUCUUCAGGAACAGUGAAAUUGCACAAAUGGGCUCUGUUGUGGCGGUCUUUGAAAAUCCUUGGCUGCUUCAACCGUCGAUGAGAUGAGGAGAGAGGGGAAAUCCUUCCUUGCAAGCACGCAGCUAGCAUCUUACCCUUUCUCCCCUGGGGUGGAAUAGAACUCGUCGAGGUCAUGUUGUUUUUGAUAAAUAAAAUCCAUCAUAGAGUUUAUGUUAUUUGGGUGCUUGUCAAGUGUGUAGGUAGUUGUAAGAGGCAAAUGAGAUGAUACCAUUAUUAUUGUUUUGAUAAAUAAAAAUCUAUAAUUGAGGGCA